rnacentral:rRNA from 1 species
UACGGAAGGGGCAAGCGUUGUUCGGAAUCAUUGGGCGUAAAGGGCGCGUAGGUGGUUCUGUAUGUCUACCGUGAAAGCGUACGGCUCAACCGUAUUUUGUCGGUGGAAACUGCAGGACUUGAGGCUGGGAGGGGCUGGUGGAAUUCCCUGUGUAGCGGUGAAAUGCGUAGAUAUCAGGAGGAACACCCGUGGCGAAGGCGGCUUCCUGGGGCCAUCCUGACACUGAGAAGCGAAAGCUAGGGGAGCGAACGGG